GUCUCCAAGAGAACUUGUUAAAAUGCAGAUUCAAAUUGAGUAGGUCUGGGGUGGGGCCUGAGAUGCUGCAUUUUUAACAAGCUCCCAAGUGAUGCUGA
rnacentral:pre_miRNA from 1 species